GCACGUUAUGGUGGGCGACUCUAAGGAGGACUGCCGGUGACAAACCGGAACGGAAGGUAGGGGAGUGACGUCAAGUCAUCAUGGCCCUUACGGCCUGGGCUACACACGUGCUACAAUGGUCGGUACAAAGGGUUGCCAAGCCGCGAGGUGGAGCUAAUCCCAUAAAACCGAUCGUAGUCCGGAUCGCAGUCUGCAACUCGACUGCGUGAAGUCGGAAUCGCUAGUAAUCGUGAAUCAGAAUGUCACGGUGAAUACGUUCCCGGGCCUU
rnacentral:rRNA from 1 species